GGAUCCAGACUUUGAUUAUGGCUCAUGACGAACGCUGGCGGCGCGCCUAACACAUGCAAGUCGAACGGAGAUUACAGGCGGAAGUUUUCGGAUGGAAGCUUGUAAACUUAGUGGCGGACGGGUGAGUAACACGUGAGCAACCUGCCUAUCAGAGGGGGAUAACGAUUGGAAACGAUCGCUAAUACCGCAUGACAUAGCGGAACCGCAUGGUUUUGCUAUCAAAGAUUUUAUCGCUGAUAGAUGGGCUCGCGUCCGAUUAGAUAGUUGGUGGGGUAACGGCCUACCAAGUCGACGAUCGGUAGCCGGACUGAGAGGUCGAACGGCCACAUUGGGACUGAGACACGGCCCAGACUCCUACGGGAGGCAGCAGUGGGGGAUAUUGCACAAUGGGGGAAACCCUGAUGCAGCGACGCCGCGUGAGGGAAGACGGUCCUCUGGAUUGUAAACCUCUGUCUUCGGGGACGAAAGUAGACGGUACCCGAGGAGGAAGCCACGGCUAACUACGUGCCAGCAGCCGCGGUAAUACGUAGGUGGCAAGCGUUGUCCGGAAUUACUGGGUGUAAAGGGAGCGUAGGCGGGCAGGCAAGUCAGGCGUGAAAUAUAUCGGCUCAACCGGUAACGGCGCUUGAAACUGCAG
rnacentral:rRNA from 1 species